rnacentral:rRNA from 1 species
AGAGUUUGAUCAUGGCUCAGAUUGAACGCUGGCGGUAGGCUUAACACAUGCAAGUCGAGCGGUAACAGAGAUAGCUUGCUAUCUGCUGACGAGCGGCGGACGGGUGAGUAACGCGUAGGAAACUGCCUGGUAGUGGGGGAUAGCCCAGAGAAAUUUGGAUUAAUACCGCAUACGCCCUACGGGGGAAAGGGGGCUUAGUCUUCGGCUCUUGCUAUCAGAUGUGCCUGCGUAAGAUUAGCUUGUUGGUGAGGUAAUGGCUCACCAAGGCGACGAUCUUUAGCUGGUCUGAGAGGAUGAUCAGCCACACUGGAACUGAGACACGGUCCAGACUCCUACGGGAGGCAGCAGUGGGGAAUAUUGCACAAUGGACGAAAGUCUGAUGCAGCCAUACCGCGUGUGUGAAGAAGGCUUUCGGGUUGUAAAGCACUUUCAGACGUGAGGAAAAGUAGACUAUUAAUACUAGUUUGCCCUGACGUUAACGUCAGAAGAAGGACCGGCUAACUCCGUGCCAGCAGCCGCGGUAAUACGGAGGGUCCAAGCGUUAAUCGGAAUUACUGGGCGUAAAGCGCGCGUAGGCGGAUAUUUAAGUCAGAUGUGAAAUCCCUGGGCUCAACCUAGGAACUGCAUUUGAAACUGGAUAUCUAGAGUAUGGUAGAGGUGAGUGGAAUUUCAGGUGUAGCGGUGAAAUGCGUAGAGAUCUGAAGGAACAUCAGUGGCGAAGGCGACACUCUGGGCUGAUACUGACGCUGAGGUGCGAAAGCGUGGGUAGCAAACAGGAUUAGAUACCCUGGUAGUCCACGCCGUAAACGAUGAGAACUAGAUGUUGGGGGAAUUUGUCCUUCGGUGUCGCAGCUAACGCGUUAAGUUCUCCGCCUGGGGAGUACGCCGGCAACGGUAAAACUCAAAGGAAUUGACGGGGACCCGCACAAGCGGUGGAUUAUGUGGAUUAAUUCGAUGCAACGCGAAAAACCUUACCUACCCUUGACAUGCCAAGAACUUUCCAGAGAUGGAUUGGUGCCUUCGGGAACUUGGACACAGGUGCUGCAUGGCUGUCGUCAGCUCGUGUCGUGAGAUGUUGGGUUAAGUCCCGCAACGAGCGCAACCCUUGUCAUUAAUUGCCAUCAUUUAGUUGGGCACUUUAAUGAGACUGCCGGUGAUAAACCGGAGGAAGGUGGGGAUGACGUCAAGUCCUCAUGGCCCUUAUGGGUAGGGCUUCACACGUAAUACAAUGGUCGGUACAGAGGGCUGCAAACUCGCGAGAGUAAGCUAAUCUCAGAAAGCCGAUCUUAGUCCGGAUUGGAGUCUGCAACUCGACUCCAUGAAGUUGGAAUCGCUAGUAAUCGCGGAUCAGAAUGCCGCGGUGAAUACGUUCCCGGGCCUUGUACACACCGCCCGUCACACCAUGGGAGUGGGUUGCAAAAGAAGUGGGUAGACUAACCUUCGGGAGGUCGCUCACCACUUUGUGAUUCAUGACUGGGGUGAAGUCGUAACAAGGUAACC